AUCACUAAAAGGAUGCCAGCGGUAUUGAUAGAACAGGACUUUUAUAGGAUUUGACUUUCUUACGAAGUUGUAGCUUUGGCUUAAGUGCGUCUUUAGGCCUGUGACCUUCAGAACUUUCUUUUUUACAUUUUAAGUAUUUUAUUUCUUUAUUUUUAUUUUAAGACAGGGUUUCUCUCCGUAGCCCUGGCCGUCUUGGAAUGCUCUCUUAUAGACCAGGCUGGCCUCAAACUCAGAGAUCAGCCUGCCUCUGCCACCCUAGCACGGAAACAGCUGAGCAGGAAAUGACUGAAUAGCCACUACCAUGGCCAGGGUUGGGGCAGAGACGGGGAGGCCUGCUUGCUCAUAGCAACAGGACAGCAGGCUGUCCACUGAUCAAGAACACCUGCCCUGCACAGCCCUGAAGGGGUGCCAUCCCUCCUUUGCGUGUCAUCUGGACAAGUGAGUUUUGUUCCAGUUCUCAUAGAAGCCACCGCACUGCGGAGCCUGAAGUUACACAAGAAGCAAGACAAGGUCUCCCAUGGUUGGAAGGGCCCCACAUGAUGUCUCUUGUGAGAAGAUGGGUUUCCCAGCCAGAGUCCAUCCCUCUCCUGUGCAGGUGGUCUCAGGUUGGUGACACUAAGAUCAGCCUCCUAUGGGGCUUCAAGCCCCCUUCCUCUACCCCUGUGCUGCUGAGAACCAGGUGGGCGGACAGGAACGC
ensembl:antisense Gm16275 predicted gene 16275